CUGCAAUGACGGAGCGGGGCCGGCGUCCGCUUGCUCCAGUCGCGUAAACACAUGGCGUUUACGACUGUCUGGGAAGCCUGACGCCGUGACCUCCCGACGCCGCGAGACUCAAGGAAUGAACAUAAUAAUUUCCUACUAGUAUGAAGGAGUUGAGGCAUACUGUUUUUUUGUUUGUUUUGUUUUUUGUUUUUUUAAAAAGCAUAUUCUAGUUUCUAUCUGUAACUCGUUUCUAGUUCUGCCACCGCGAUGCCGAAGGCGCCCAAGCAGCAGCUGCCGGAGCCCGAGUGGAUCGGGGACGGAGAGAACACGAGCCCAUCAGGCUUCCCCAUCAAGAAAUUGCACCACAGGUCAUUCAGUUAUUUGGGCCAAAACUGAAAGGUCAUCAUCCUCUUUCUCCAUUCCUCCUCCCCUAAUCAAUCCAUCAGCCAGCUAAGUCUGCCUCAUUUUUUCAUUCAUCUGUUCAACAAAUAUAUUUAUUGAGUGUAUAGUAUGUGCCAGGCACUCUUCUACGCUCUUGGGAUACUACUGAAUAAAAUAAAGAUCUCUGAUUAGGUUUCCAGCAGGGGAGAUGAUCCUAUAGAUAAAAGAAAAUAUGGAUCAAGUUUAAAAGUAUCAAGAGGACAGAUUUUAGUCUUAAAUGAGGCCUCAGUAAAGUGAAAUUCAAGCAAAUCAUUAAAGAAGAUUAGUUUUGGCCACAUGGAUUUCCAGGAGAAGGGCCUUUCUAGCAUAAGAAACAGCUGGAGUAAAGCCCUGUGACAGGAGUGUUCGGACAUACAUGGGGAACAAACAGGAAGGAGGCAAGAGGGGCUGGAGUGGCACGAGUGAGCCAGAGUUGUGGGAAAGGUGAAAAGAGAAGUAAAGCAGGGUCUGGAUUGGGAAAGGUCUUUUAAAUUAUCUUAAGGAUUUUGGCUUCUUCUGUUGAUUUAAAUGGAAGUCACUGCAGAGUUCUGAGCAGAGUGAUGUGAUCCAACCUACAUUUUAAAAGGAUGACCUGGGCUGGGGCGCGGUGGCUCAUGCCUGUAAUGCCAGCACUUUGGAAGUCCUAGAUGGGUGGAUCACGAGGUCAGGAGAUUGA
rnacentral:lncRNA from 1 species